rnacentral:rRNA from 1 species
UACCAGCUCUCCGAGUGGUGUGGAUGUUUAUUGGGCCUAAAGCAUCCGUAGCUGGCUGGACAAGUCCCCUGUUAAAUCCACCGAUUUAAUCGUUGGUGUGCGGGGGAUACUGUUCGGCUAGGGGACGGGAGAGGCAGACGGUAUUUUCGGGGUAGGGGUGAAAUCCUAUAAUCCCGGGAAGACCACCAGUGGCGAAGGCUGUCUGCUAGAACGCGCCCGACGGUGAGGGAUGAAAGCUGGGGGAGCGAACCGGAUUAGAUACCCGGGUAGUCCCAGCUGUAAACGAUGCAGGCUAGGUGUUUGGACGGCCACGUGCCGUUCUAGUGCCGCAGGGAAGCCGUUAAGCCUGCCGCCUGGGGAGUACGGCCGCAAGGCUGAAACUUAAAGGAAUUGGCGGGGGAGCACCACAAGGCGUGGAAGCUUGGCGGUUC